rnacentral:lncRNA from 10 species
CUUCUGCCACGUCUGCAUUUCGGGGACCCGGAUGCCGCGCAUGCGCCUCUUUCAUCUUCCCAUCAUGGCCGCCGCCUGUGCGCCUCUGCUGAGUCUGCUUGAGAUGUUUUGCAGACCCUGCACUCAUUGGAUCAGCUGACUACCUAGACCAGUAACCUGGCUCAAUCAGUUCUGCCAUUCCACCCAGGAACAGAAAACAGCAAGAAAACCUCACUUUGACUCCCUGUGAUUCCGUCUUCAACCUGACCAAUCAGCACUCCCCGCUUCCCAAGCUCCUACUCGCCAAAUUAUCUUUAAGAACUCUGAUCCUCAAAUGCUCAGGGAGACUAAUUUGUGUAAUAAUAAAACUCUGGUCUCCCACACAGCUGGCUCUG